rnacentral:rRNA from 1 species
AUGGACGCGGCUGCGGUGAUCGGUUGUUUAAGGGACAGGAGCAUCCUCAUCACCGGCUCCACGGGCUUCCUCGGGAAAAUGCUGGUGGAGAAGAUCCUAAGGGUCCAGCCGGAUGUGGGUAAGCUCUACCUCCUUGUGCGUGCGCCAGACGCCGCAUCCGCCGAGCAUCGCGUGCUCACCAAGGUUGUGGAAACAACACUUUUUGAUGUUCUGCGGACCAAGCAUGGAGCUGAUUUCAACUCUUUUAUCAAAAAUAAAAUUUCCCCUCUACCUGGAGACAUCACUAAGGAAACAUGUGCGCUCAGAGAUUCUAUGGUUGAACAGAUCUCUAAAGAGAUCCAUGUCAUUGUGAGUGUAGCUGCAACUACCAGCUUCUACGAGAGAUAUGAUGUCGCUCUGGCAUCAAAUACCUUAGGAGUUGCCCACGUGUGCGAUUUAGCAAAGAAGUGUGCUAAUCUUAAAAUGCUCCUUCAUGUUUCAACUGCUUUCGUAGCCGGGGAGCAAGAAGGCCUGUUAGUUGAGAAGCCGUUCGAUGUAGGCAAAGCACUAAAGAAAGAUUAUAACUUGGACAUUCAAUCCUCUGACGACAAGAUAGAGAAACGGAAAAUGAAGAAACUUGGAUUGAAAAGGGCUAGGCAUUUUGGUUGGCCUAACGUGUAUUCACUCACAAAGUCCAUGGGGGAGAUGUUGCUGGGAACCUUAGAACGAGACCUUCCGGUUGUCAUAGUACGACCAAGCAUCAUAUCUAGCACUUUCCAAGAACCAAUGCCCGGUUGGACGGAGGGAACUAGGACAAUGGAUAUGUUGUACGUUACUUACAAUGACCAAAAACUUCCGUGUUUCAUCGGCGAACGUAAUGUCAUAGUCGAUGUGACGUUGCAUGUGAUGGGUGUAUUCGGGCAUUCAUUGUCCCAGCAUUACAAUAAGCUCAAACGUGGCUACAAUUUCCUGAUACUUGUUGCAGAGUUGUACGCCCCAUAUGCGUUCUUCAAAGGGUGCUUUGAUGAUACGAACAUGAGAAAUUUGUGGGCAAUAACCUCGGAAGACCAGCUGAAGGAUGGCUCCACGUUUGAUUGUGAUCCUGCAUGCAUCGAUUGGGGCUCAUACCUGAUCAAUACACACAUUCCGGCUGCUUUGACCUAUGCUCGCAAUAAUAAUUGGAUGAACAAAGCUUACAGAAGUGCACAGGGGAGAAGAAAUUAUAAAAAUCUAUAUCUAAUAAUAAUCAUGUAUGUCCUUUUAUUUAUGUGA